AUGGGACCUUUUCCUUCCUCUAAUGGGUAUACACAUAUUUUGGUUGCUUUUGAUUAUGUUACUAAGUGGGUAGAAGCUAUUACAACCAGAAGUGCUGAUCACAACAACUCUAUUAAAAUGCUUAAGGAAGUUAUUUUCCCAAGGUUUGGAGUCCCUAGAUAUUUAAUGAAUGAUGGUGGUUCACACUUUAUUCAUGGUGCUUUCCACAAAAUUCUUGCCAAGUAUGAUGUUAACCAUAGAAGUGCAUCACCUUAUCAUCCUCAGUAUAGUGGUCAAGUUGAACUUAGCAAUACAGAUAUAAAAUUAAUUUUGUAA
rnacentral:rRNA from 1 species